rnacentral:rRNA from 1 species
UACGUAGGGGGCGAGCGUUGUUCGGAAUUACUGGGCGUAAAGGGUGCGUAGGCGGUUUUUUAAGUCAGGGGUGAAAUCCUGGAGCUCAACUCCAGAACUGCCUUUGAUACUGAGGAUCUUGAGUUCGGGAGAGGUGAGUGGAACUGCGAGUGUAGAGGUGAAAUUCGUAGAUAUUCGCAAGAACACCAGUGGCGAAGGCGGCUCACUGGCCCGAUACUGACGCUGAGGCACGAAAGCGUGGGGAGCAAACAGG